UGACCGCAAGGUCAUGGCUCAUCACAGGUGCUGCAUGGUUGUCGUCAGCUCGUGUCGUGAGAUGUAAGGUUAAGUCCUUGAACGAGCGCAACCCCUUUCGUCAGUUGCAAACCAGCAAUGGCGCACCCUGACGAUACUGCCAGCUAAAAGUUGGAGGAAGGAGGGGAUGACGUCAAAUCCUCAUGGCCUUUAUGUCCAGGGCUACACACAUGCGACAAUGGUCGGUACAACGAGUCGCAACACCGCGAGGUGAAGCCAAUCCCUAAAAACCGACCUCAGUUCAGAUUGCAGACUGCAAUUCGUCUACAUGAAGAUGGAGUUGCUAGUAACGGCAGGCCAGCAUCACUGCCGUGAAUAUGUUCCCGGGCCUU
rnacentral:rRNA from 1 species